AAAAAAAUGAAAAAGAAAAAAAUUGCACACCCAUGAAUCCUGUAUGUAAGAGCAUACAAAUUAACUUGUGUAUAAAAUCUUAUCAGAUGCCAAAACAUAAUCGCUCAUCUACAGCAUAUCAUUUCCUAGACAAUGUGAUUCUUGGACCACUUUUAGUCCUAAACAACAGAAGUAAUUUUGAUGUAUUUAAUUUAACCUGAUGGAUCCAUUCAUAUUUGGAUUUGAUGAAAAUGUAAUAAUAUACAUUUUGCUUUUAACAACUCAUUAGGUUUUUUGCUGAUCCAUUUCUGUCCUUUGUCCUGCAGGCCAAGCAACUUGCACA
rnacentral:misc_RNA from 1 species